AUACCUUUCUCGGCCUUUUGACUAUAAUCAAGUGUAGUAUCUGUUCUUAUCAGUUUAAUAUUUGAUAUGUUCACACGAUAUUAUAUUAAUUUUUUUCAUGGAAGAGUUCCCAUCAUAACAGCUUGUUGUUGGGGAUCUCACGUGUCGCCUUUGCGUUGCACUACUGCAAAGGCCUGGCACACCCACA